UAAGGAAUAUUGGUCAAUGGACGCAAGUCUGAACCAGCCAUGCCGCGUGAAGGAUGAAGGUCCUCUGGAUUGUAAACUUCUUUUAUCUGGGACGAAAACGGGAUUUUUAUCUCAAUUGACGGUACCAGAGGAAUAAGCACCGGCUAACUACGUGCCAGCAGCCGCGGUAAUACGUAGGGUGCGAGCGUUAAUCGGAAUUACUGGGCGUAAAGGGUGCGCAGGCGGUCUUGCAAGUCAGAUGUGAAAGCCCCGGGCUUAACCUGGGAAUUGCGUUUGAAACUACAAGGCUAGAGUGCAGCAGGGGGGAGUGGAAUUCCAUGUGUAGCAGUGAAAUGCGUAGAGAUGUGGAAGAACACCGAUGGCGAAGGCAGCUCCCUGGGUUGACACUGACGCUCAUGCACGAAAGCGUGGGGAGCAAACA
rnacentral:rRNA from 1 species